rnacentral:rRNA from 1 species
UACGUAGGGUGCAAGCGUUAUCCGGAAUUAUUGGGCGUAAAGAGCUCGUAGGCGGUUUGUCGCGUCUGCUGUGAAAACUGGAGGCUCAACCUCCAGCCUGCAGUGGGUACGGGCAGACUAGAGUGCGGUAGGGGAGAUUGGAAUUCCUGGUGUAGCGGUGGAAUGCGCAGAUAUCAGGAGGAACACCGAUGGCGAAGGCAGAUCUCUGGGCCGUAACUGACGCUGAGGUGCGAAAGCGUGGGGAGCAAACAGG